rnacentral:rRNA from 1 species
UGGGGAAUUUCCGCAGUGGGCGAAAGCCUGACGGAGCAAUGCCGCGUGGAGGUGGAAGGCCUACGGGUCGUCAACUUCUUUUCUCGGAGAAGAAACAAUGACGGUAUCUGAGGAAUAAGCAUCGGCUAACUCUGUGCCAG